rnacentral:rRNA from 1 species
GGUUAAGCGACUAAGCGUACACGGUGGAUGCCCUGGCAGUCAGAGGCGAUGAAGGACGUGCUAAUCUGCGAUAAGCGUCGGUAAGGUGAUAUGAACCGUUAUAACCGGCGAUUUCCGAAUGGGGAAACCCAGUGUGAUUUGUCACACUAUCAUUAACUGAAUCCAUAGGUUAAUGAGGCGAACCGGGGGAACUGAAACAUCUAAGUACCCCGAGGAAAAGAAAUCAACCGAGAUUCCCCCAGUAGCGGCGAGCGAACGGGGAGGAGCCCAGAGCCUGAAUCAGUGUGUGUGUUAGUGGAAGCGUCUGGAAAGGCGCGCGAUACAGGGUGACAGCCCCGUACACAAAAAUGCACAUAUUGUGAGCUCGAUGAGUAGGGCGGGACACGUGGUAUCCUGUCUGAAUAUGGGGGGACCAUCCUCCAAGGCUAAAUACUCCUGACUGACCGAUAGUGAACCAGUACCGUGAGGGAAAGGCGAAAAGAACCCCGGCGAGGGGAGUGAAAAAGAACCUGAAACCGUGUACGUACAAGCAGUGGGAGCACGCUU